UAUGGAUACUAUUCAAUCAGAAUUUAAACAUAAUAUCAAUAACAAUAUUCAAGAUAUAUUCGUCAUAAUACAAAAAAUGAUUAUAUAUUCAAGUACCACAACCAAAAUAAGAUAACAGUUAAUUGUUUACAUCCAGUACCAUUUGCACCACAUAAUUAAGUUUUCAAUCUCAUCAAAAUCAAAUCUCAUAUUAGUAACUUCUCAAAACAAUGAUAAUAAAAACUCUAAGGGGCUGUUUGAUUUGACGUAAAAUUGCGAAAAAAAAAUUUCGGUGGAAAAAAACUUUCGGUGGAAAAAAAAUUUUACGUAGUGUUUGGUUUGUAGGAAAAGAAAAAUAGUUUUCGAUGAUGGUUGUUUGGUUGAAAGAAAAGAAAAGUAGUUGAAAUCUAUAUAAUAUAUUUUUUAUUAUAUAUAUUAUUAUUAUAUAAUAAUUAAUAUACUAUAUAUAUUAUUAUUAUAAUAUUU
rnacentral:lncRNA from 1 species